AUGGCCGAGAUCUGCUGCCAGGAAGCCAAGUCGCCGCCGGCGACCGCGGCCACGGUGGCCACGGUCUCGGCUUCGGCGGCCGCCGCGGCCGUCGCCUCGUCGGUGAUGGACAGGCGGCGCCGCAGGCUGGAGCUGAAGCGCUUCCGCCUCGCGAGCGACCUCGAGCAGUCGGCCGCGGAGUACGCCGGCGCCCGCAAGCGGCCGAGGAUACCGCGCACGGUGUCCGGCCCGUGCCCCGACGCUGCCUCGGCGUCCGAGAACGCGGAGCGUUGCCCGAGGUUCGGGUUCUCCUCGGUGUGCGGCCGUCGUCGCGAGAUGGAGGACGCCGUCUCCAUCAGGCCCGGUUUCUUGCCCGGCUCCGGCAAGUCCCACUUCUUCGGCGUCUUCGAUGGCCACGGCUGCUCACACGUGGCGACGACGUGCCAGGAGCUGAUGCAUGAGGUGGUGGCGGAGGAGCACCAGAAGGCGGGGUCCGGCGAGGAGCCUGUGUGGAAGGAGGUGAUGGAGAGGAGCUUCGCGCGGCUGGACGAGCGGGCCGCGAACUGGGCGACCACCCGCAGCAGCGAGGAGCCCGCCUGCCGCUGCGAGCAGAAGAUGCCCUCGCGGUGCGACCACGUGGGAUCCACCGCCGUCGUGGCAGUCGUCAGCCCGACCCAGCUCGUCGUGGGCAACGCCGGCGACUCCCGUGCCGUCCUUUCCCGCGCCGGCGUCCCCGUUGCACUCUCCGUCGACCACAAGCCUGACCGGCCGGACGAGCUGGAGCGCAUCCAGGCGGCGGGCGGGCGCGUCAUCUACUGGGACGGCGCGCGGGUGCUCGGCGUCCUCGCCAUGUCUCGAGCCAUAGGGGAUGGCUACCUGAAGCCGUUCGUGACGGCGGAGCCGGAGGUGACCGUGACGGAGCGCAGCGACGCCGACGAGUGCCUGAUCCUGGCCAGCGACGGGCUGUGGGACGUGGUGACCAACGAGAUGGCGUGCGACGUCGCCAGGGCGUGCUUCCGGAGCAACGGCCCACCAGAGCCGGCCGCGGCUCAGGCGCAGGCGAGCGAGGGGGUGAGCAAGGCGGAGUCCGACCGGGCGUGCUCCGACGCGGCCAUGCUGCUGGCGAAGCUGGCGCUGGCGCGGGGGAGCUCCGACAACGUGAGCGUCGUGGUCGUGGAUCUGCGCCGGGGAUCGUGA
rnacentral:rRNA from 1 species